rnacentral:rRNA from 1 species
UACGUAGGGUGCAAGCGUUAAUCGGAAUUACUGGGCGUAAAGCGUGCGCAGGCGGUGAUGUAAGACAGAUGUGAAAUCCCCGGGCUCAACCUGGGAACUGCAUUUGUGACUGCAUCGCUGGAGUGCGAGAGGGGGAUGGAAUUCCGCGUGUAGCAGUGAAAUGCGUAGAUAUGCGGAGGAACACCGAUGGCGAAGGCAAUCCCCUGGGCCUGCACUGACGCUCAUGCACGAAAGCGUGGGGAGCAAACAGG